GGUAAAAUGGUUGAGUAAAGAGCAUUAGAGUGUAAAUCUAAGAACAGAGGUUUAAGCCCUCCUUUUGCCA
rnacentral:tRNA from 1 species